rnacentral:rRNA from 1 species
UACGUAGGCAGCGAGCGUUGUUCGGAGUUACUGGGCGUAAAGGGUGCGUAGGCGGUUGUUUAAGUUUGGUGUGAAAUCUCCCGGCUCAACUGGGAGGGUGCGCCGAAUACUGAAUGACUAGAGUGCGGGAGAGGAGAGUGGAAUUCCUGGUGUAGCGGUGAAAUGCGUAGAUAUCGCUUGGAACGCCAAAGGUGAAAACAGGUUGCUGGGGUUGUGCCGGACGCUGAGACACGAAAGCCAGGGGAGCAAACGGG